UACGUAGGGCGCAAGCGUUGUCCGGAAUUAUUGGGCGGAAAGAGCUCGUAGGCGGCUUGUCACGUCGGGGGUGAAAGCCCGGGGCUUAACCCCGGGUCUGCAUUCGAUACGGGCAGGCUAGAGUGUGGUAGGGGAGAUCGGAAUUCCUGGUGUAGCGGUGAAAUGCGCAGAUAUCAGGAGGAACACCGGUGGCGAAGGCGGGUCUCUGGGCCGAUAUUGACGCUGAGGAGCGAAAGCGUGGGGAGCGAACAGG
rnacentral:rRNA from 1 species